UCUUCUUAUAAUUCUUACUGUUCCUAAUUUAAGUCAGAAGUGGAGAUUAUAGAGUUAGUGUACGCACUAAGAUAGAGAAUGUCACUGUACUUGAUGGAUCCAACCUUUCGGGGAGUCAUCGCGGUGGAGGCAACGCUAUCUCUGGUGGUAGGGUUGCGGCAGUGGAUGAGAUGGCGACUGCUACGGUGGUGGACCAUGCUAUGGCGGUGUUGGACCAUGCUAUGUCGGUGGUGGUCGCAGUGGGUGCGGUGGAGUUUGUGGUGAUCUUCAAUGCUGUAGGGAUGGAUACGGAGGAGGAAUCAGCGAAAGAGAGCAGAUCGCUGGAAGAGGGAAGAAGUAGAGACACGACAGGGAGGAGCGAGAGAUGCAUACUGGCAUCGACAACAAUGGGCAUGCAGUUUGGUGAGGCUGAGAUGAUUCGGAUGGCAAUAGACAGAACGGAAGAGAAGUCAUAGUUGCAGCACCAGAAGUGGCCAUCAACGGUCUUGGUGCGAUGAUGCUGUAUUCUCUGCUUAUAGGCGUCUUUGCCUGGUGUGGAGCUUUUGAUGCAGUAAAUCCAUAACCUCAUUGUUGUUGCCGGGAUUCUAUUUGCAAUUCGCCAAAAGAGUAUAUAUUCAUUUUCAUCAUCCUCAUAGAUCAUAUUUUUCAAUUUUUUUCUUUUCAUCACUCCAUUAAUGGAGCAGAGUACGUGAAGGCAAAAUCAAAUUGGCUACUGGAAAUUCGUGGGCAACCCCGGCAAGAAGGUUUAGCUUUCGGAGUCCAAGAUCCAGCAGCUCUGCUUGAUUUCCAGAGACAUUUUCUUGCAACAGCCAGAUUUAUGGGAUCUCCAAUCUUUCAUUUAGAUUUGUGAAAAAAGAAAAUAAUAUCACCACAGAAGCAAGGAGGUGAAGAAACCAUGAUGGCAGUCCUGAAUGUAAUAAUUGAAAGAGAAGGGAGGAAUUGGAGAAAGAAAGUGGUGGUUCAGGUUCACAUUCUUCCUUGCAAAGCCUUCUCUGGCAUGGUGGUUCUGCUGAUGGUGCUUGGUUCAGUUGUGCCUCAAAUAAGGUAGGAUAGGUUCCAUUAACACUGCCAUACCCAUUCUCACAUUAGUUUAUUUUUUAUUUUGUAGUUAUUAGUUUAGUGCCUUCAUUGCCAUACUCUAUUGUGGCAUAUCUUUUGGGGUGCAUUAAAACAUGCGAAUGGAAUUGAAGGCAGAUCAACAAUUGUUGUUAGAGUAAUAGCAUGCUUUCAACCCUUGCACAAUUGUCAGGAAAAGCCAAUGACGGCUUUGGGUGAACAAGUGUGUCAAUCUGUGGUAAUAAUGUUGGAAAGAUUAUGCACGGCAAAACCAUUCACUGUAUGCAGUUUGUAUGCCUUCCAUAUGUGCAAACCUUUCUAUGAGUAUGACAGGAAGGAUGGGAACCAGUACUGUUCCCAGGCCAUUCACUGUAUUCACCAUUCUUCAUUCAUAUGUUGCAACUAUACUAAAGACUUUUAGCAUUAUAAGAUGUUUUAAAUAUUUAAUAAAUUACUUCUAAAAAAAUAGAGCCAUUGUGUUUCAAAUGGUUAUGCUAUUUUAUUUUUUAG